AAGUCGUAACAAGGUUUCCGUAGGUGAACCUGCGGAAGGAUCAUUAGUGAAUAAACUUGUGUGGGUUGUUGCUGGCCUCCUCGGAGGUAUGUGCACGCCUGCCAUUGUUUCAUUCCCCUUCCACCUGUGCACUUUUUGUAGACCAGCUGUCACUUUUCGGAUUGCUCGCAUCCCGGUUAUGAGGAUUUGCUCUGGCUGUCCUUGGUUGUCAGCGGUCUAUGUCUUUUAUCAACUCUGUAUGUGUAAACGAAUGUUUGUUCUGGGUUCUAUACCCAUAAAAUCUAUACAACUUUCAACAACGGAUCUCUUGGCUCUC
rnacentral:misc_RNA from 1 species